rnacentral:rRNA from 1 species
UACGAAGGGGGCUAGCGUUGUUCGGAAUCAUUGGGCGUAAAGCGCGUGUAGGCGGUUCGGUAAGUCCGCUGUGAAAGUCGGGGGCUCAACCCUCGGAUGCCGGUGGAUACUGUCGAGCUUGAGUACGGAAGAGGCGAGUGGAAUUCCUGGUGUAGCGGUGAAAUGCGCAGAUAUCAGGAAGAACACCCGUGGCGAAAGCGGCUCUCUGGAACGGUACUGACGCUGAGACGCGAAAGCGUGGGGAGCGAACAGG